rnacentral:rRNA from 1 species
UACGGGGGGAGCAAGCGUUGUUCGGAAUUACUGGGCGUAAAGGGCUCGUAGGUGGCCAACUAAGUCAGACGUGAAAUCCCUCGGCUUAACCGGGGAACUGCGUCUGAUACUGGAUGGCUUGAGUUCGGGAGAGGGAUGCGGAAUUCCAGGUGUAGCGGUGAAAUGCGUAGAUAUCUGGAGGAACACCGGUGGCGAAGGCGGCAUCCUGGACCGACACUGACACUGAGGAGCGAAAGCCAGGGGAGCAAACGGG